rnacentral:rRNA from 1 species
AUACGUAGGGUGCAAGCGCUAAUCGGAAUUACUGGGCGUAAAGCGUGCGCAGGCGGUUUUGUAAGACAGAGGUGAAAUCCCCGGGCUCAACCUGGGAACUGCCUUUGUGACUGCAAGGCUAGAGUACGGCAGAGGGGGAUGGAAUUCCGCGUGUAGCAGUGAAAUGCGUAGAUAUGCGGAGGAACACCGAUGGCGAAGGCAAUCCCCUGGGCCUGUACUGACGCUCAUGCACGAAAGCGUGGGGAGC